ACGAACGCUGGUGGCGUGCCUAACACAUGCAAGUCGAACGAGAAAGCCUUCGGGCAAGUAAAGUGGCGCACGGGUGAGUAACGCGUGGGUAAUCUACCCUUCAGUCUGGGAUAACAGCUCUAACGGGCUGCUAAUACCGGAUACGACAUCAACCUCUGCGGGGGGUGAUGGGAAAGAAUUUCGCUGAAGGAUGAGCCCGCGUGCCAUUAGGUUGUUGGUGGGGUAAUGGCCUACCAAGCCAUAGAUGGCUAGCUGGUCUGAGAGGAUGAUCAGCCACACUGGGACUGAGACACGGCCCAGACUCCUACGGGAGGCAGCAGUGGGGAAUAUUGCGCAAUGGGCGAAAGCCUGACGCAGCAACGCCGCGUGUGUGAAGAAGGUCUUCGGGUCGUAAAGCACUGUUGAGAGGAACGAGCCGGCUAAUGGUCCCGACGGUACCUCUUGAGGAAGCACCGGCUAACUCCGUGCCAGCAGCCGCGGUAAUACGGAGGGUGCAAGCGUUGUUCGGAAUUAUUGGGCGUAAAGCGCGCGCAGGUGGGCCGCUAAGUCUGAUGUGAAAUCCCUCGGCUCAACCGAGGAACUGCAUUGGAUACUGGCGGUCUUGAGUCUCGGAGAGGAAAGCGGAAUUCCCAGUGUAGAGGUGAAAUUCGUAGAUAUUGGGAGGAACACCAGCGGCGAAGGCGGCUUUCUGGACGAUGACUGACGCUGAGGCGCGAAAGCAUGGGUAGCAAACAGGAUUAGAUACCCUGGUAGUCCAUGCCGUAAACGAUGGGUACUAGUUGGUGCGGGUAUUAACCCCUGCGCUGACGAAGCUAACGCAUUAAGUACCCCGCCUGGGGAGUACGGCCGCAAGGCUAAAACUCAAAGGAAUUGACGGGGGCCCGCACAAGCGGUGGAGCAUGUGGAUUAAUUCGACGCAACGCGAAGAACCUUACCCGGCCUUGACAUGUUUACGUACGGGUCCCAAAAGACCCCGACCUUCUUGGAACGUUUACACAGGUGCUGCAUGGCUGUCGUCAGCUCGUGUCGUGAGAUGUUGGGUUAAGUUCCGCAACGAGCGCAACCCCUGUCCUUAGUUACCAGCACGUAAUGGUGGCACUCUAGAGAGACUGCCGGUGUCAAGCCGGAGGAGGGUGGGGACGACGUCAAGUCAUCAUGGCCCUUACGGCCUGGGCUACACCCGUGCUACAAUGGCCGGUACAGUGGGCAGCAAUACCGUGAGGUGGAGCCAAUCUCAAAAAGCCGGUCUCAGUUCGGAUUGGAGUCUGCAACUCGACUCCAUGAAGUUGGAAUCGCUAGUAAUCGCGUAUCAGCUACGCGUGGUGAAUACGUUCCCGGGCCUUGUACACACCGCC
rnacentral:rRNA from 1 species